UACGGAGGGGGCUAGCGUUGUUCGGAAUUACUGGGCGUAAAGCGCACGUAGGUGGCUUUGUAAGUUAGAGGUGAAAGCCCGGGGCUCAACUCCGGAAUUGCCUUUAAGACUGCAUCGCUAGAACGUCGGAGAGGUAAGUGGAAUUCCGAGUGUAGAGGUGAAAUUCGUAGAUAUUCGGAAGAACACCAGUGGCGAAGGCGGCCAUCUGGGACAACACUGACGCUGAAGCACGAAAGCGUGGGGAGCAAACAGG
rnacentral:rRNA from 1 species